UAGUGUCAACAUGGCAGCCUACAUGUUGUUCCUUGUACCCUUCUGAGUUAAGCGCUCAGAUUCUUUGAAUUUUGUUAGAUUUCCGUGAAAACGUCUAAAUAUGUUUCACUUACUUUGUAAUAGAGUCAGCACAACUGCACCGUUGCGCCCCCUCUACUCGCAUUUGAAUAGAACACAAGGUUUAUGGAGACAGCCACGAUCACGGCUAUACACAACACAAUUGGCCAAUGCAGGCAACUCCUCUGGACAGCCAAGUAAUGCUGCUGGGCGUAUCUGGGGUCUGGCUCAAGCAGCAGUUCGCCAAUCUGCCUGCUGGAUGUCAAAACCACCAGGGGGGGCCCUGAAGUUCAUUUUAGGGCCAGUGGUUCUCACCAUCUCUGCUCGAGUACUUGGUAGUGUAGCAUAUUGCCAGGCAGAUGUGAAUAACAAUGUUCUACUAGAGCUUCAAGCCAAAGAAACUGAGCCUGAGUUUGACUGGCAUAUCCUGUGGGAGUUUGUCAAACCCCAGCUUUUUGCCCUUCUUGGUGCUGUUGUGCUUGCUUUUGGUGCUGCCAUCUUGAAUAUUCAAAUUCCCCUGAUGUUGGGCGAUCUGGUGAACAUAGUGGCACGCUACAUGAGAGAACAUACUGGGAAUUACAUGAGAGAGAUGAGGGGACCUGCUCUGAAGUUGCUGGGAUUGUAUGGUCUCCAAGGUCUGCUCACGACUGGUUACAUCAUCCUGCUUUCCAGGGUAGGGGAGCGAGUAGCAGCAGACAUGAGAAAGACUCUUUUCCAAUCUUUACUCAGGCAAGAUGUAGCCUUCUUUGAUUCCAACAAAACUGGCAUGCUGGUGAACCGUUUGACUGCUGAUAUUCAGGAGUUCAAGUCUUCCUUCAAACUGGUCGUCUCUCAGGGCCUGCGGAGUGUAACACAGACGGUUGGCUGUUUCGUGUCCCUCUAUGUCAUCUCCCCUAAACUCACUGGUAUGACAGUGGUGAUACUUCCCUGUCUGGUGGGGGCAGGAGCUCUGAUUGGCUCAUUCCUUCGCAGGCUGUCCCGAUUGGCUCAGGAACAGGUGUCGAAAGCAACAGGGGUGGCAGACGAGGCCAUUGGCAAUGUGAGGACAGUGAAAGCCUUCGCCAUGGAGGAGCGAGAGAUGCAGUUAUAUGCCUGGGAAGUGGACAAAUCAUGCGAGAUGAAUGAAUCUCUAGGCUCAGGGAUAGCUGUUUUCCAAGGAAUGUCAAAUAUCGUCCUGAACUGCAUUGUUUUAGGCACCAUCUUUGCUGGUGGGUCAUUGAUGGCAGGUGAUGAAAUGUCUCCAGGUGACCUCAUGUCUUUCCUGGUGGCUUCACAGACGGUGCAGAGGUCUUUGGCCAGCAUCUCUAUCCUGUUUGGCCAAAUGGUCAGAGGCCUCAGCUCUGGGGCCCGUGUUUUUGAGUACCUGUCUUUGGAGCCUACCAUUCCACUUUCGGGAGGAGGCCGCAUUCCUUACAAAUCUCUGACAGGACGGGUGGACUUCAUGAACAUUACUUUCAGUUACCCAACGAGACCUGGCCAACGGAUCCUAAAGAACUUCAACCUCAUCAUCCCCCCCUGUAAGACUGUCGCAAUCGUUGGAGAGUCCGGAGGAGGGAAGUCCACAGUGGCCUCCUUGUUGGAGCGUUUCUAUGACCCCAGCAGUGGUGUGAUCAUGUUGGAUGGUCUGGAUAUCCGGACACUGGAUCCAUCCUGGCUCAGAGGACAAGUCAUUGGAUUUAUCAAUCAGAACCCACCCCUGCGUGUAGGAGCCUGUGCUGUUUGGCUCCUCCGUGAUGGAGAACAUUCGCUUUGGAAAGCCGGAGGCCACUGAUGCUGAGGUCAUCAAUGCUGCCAAGCAGGCCAACGCCCACCGCUUUAUCACAGGCUUUCCAGAUGGAUACAACACUGUGGUUGGUGAGCGAGGAGUGACUAUGUCAGGGGGCCAGAAGCAGCGUAUUGCCAUUGCCCGCGCCCUGAUCAAGAACCCCAGCAUCCUGGUCCUGGACGAGGCCACCAGUGCACUGGACGCAGAGUCAGAGCGGGUGGUGCAAGAGGCUCUGGACCGGGCCACCACAGGACGCACUGUGCUCAUCAUCGCCCACAGACUCAGCACCAUCCAGAGGGCAGACCUCAUCUGUGUCAUGAGCAAUGGACGCAUUGUAGAGGCUGGAACUCACGCGGAAUUGCUGAGCAAAGGAGGGCUGUAUGCUGACCUGAUACGCAGGCAGAGAUCAGAGGGAGAGAAGUGAACACUACUUUUGAUAUGGCACAGAACUGUAGGCCUAUAUCAUGAACUAGGGACAGCCUUUUCAUAAGAAAUGAAAAAGAUGCAUAGGUAUUAUCACUUGUUUUGUUGGUGUAAAGUUGAUUUAGUUUAAUGGUCCAAUUCCAUUUUUUUUAAAGCCAAAUGUAUGGUUGGACCAAUUGAAUUAUAUUUUGUGGCCCAAGUAAGGCUGCUGAAAUUGCAAGUGUUUAUCAUGUGUUUAUAGGAAGAGAAUACUAACUGUACAGGAUGUGAAUGUGGUUUUAGCAGGGUUACUUGGCCCUGUACUGUGUCUGUACAUUUUGCAAUACUUUUAAUCAUUAAAUUCUAUUCAUCCACUAA